AACGAACGCUGGCGGCAUGCCUAACACAUGCAAGUCGAACGAGACCUUCGGGUCUAGUGGCGCACGGGUGCGUAACGCGUGGGAACCUGCCUUUAGGUUCGGAAUAACUCAGAGAAAUUUGAGCUAAUACCGGAUGAUGUCUUCGGACCAAAGAUUUAUCGCCUUUAGAUGGGCCCGCGUUGGAUUAGCUAGUUGGUGGGGUAAAGGCCUACCAAGGCGACGAUCCAUAGCUGGUCUGAGAGGAUGAUCAGCCACACUGGGACUGAGACACGGCCCAGACUCCUACGGGAGGCAGCAGUGGGGAAUAUUGGACAAUGGGCGAAAGCCUGAUCCAGCAAUGCCGCGUGAGCGAUGAAGGCCUUAGGGUUGUAAAGCUCUUUUACCCGAGAUGAUAAUGACAGUAUCGGGAGAAUAAGCUCCGGCUAACUCCGUG
rnacentral:rRNA from 1 species